UCGAUUAGUUUGAUCAUGGCUCAGAAUCAACGCUGGCGGCGUGCCUCAGACAUGCAAGUCGAACGAUUAAACUUUCCUUCGGGAAAGAUAUAAAGUGGCGCACGGGUGAGUAACACGUAGGUAAUGUACCUUUGGGUGGGGAAUAACAGUCGGAAACGACUGCUAAUACCGCAUAAUGCAGCGGCUCCUUAUGGAGACAGUUGUUAAAGAUUUAUCGCCUAAAGAGCAGCCUGCGGCAGAUUAGCUAGUUGGUAAGGUAAUGGCUUACCAAGGCUACGAUCUGUAGCCGACCUGAGAGGGUGGUCGGUCACACUGACACUGAAUAACGGGUCAGACUCCUACGGGAGGCAGCAGUCGGGAAUUUUGGGCAAUGGGCGAAAGCCUGACCCAGCAACGCCGCGUGAAGGAUGAAGUCUUUCGGGAUGUAAACUUCGUAAAAAUAGGAAGAAUAAAUGACGGUACUAUUUGUAAGGUCCGGCUAACUACGUGCCGGCAGCCGCGGUAAUACGUAGGGACCAAGCGUUGUUCGGAUUUACUGGGCGUAAAGGGCGCGUAGGCGGCGUGGCAAGUCACUUGUGAAAUCUCCGGGCUUAACUCGGAACGGUCAAGUGAAACUGUCGUGCUAGAGUACAGAAAGGGUAAUCGGAAUUCUUGGUGUAGCGGUGAAAUGCGUAGAUAUCAAGAGGAACACCAGAGGCGAAGGCGGAUUACUAGGCUGAUACUGACGCUGAGGCGCGAAAGCUAGGGUAGCAAACGGGA
rnacentral:rRNA from 1 species